AACGUAGGAGACAAACGUUAUCCGGAGUUACUGGGCGUAAAGGGCGUGCAGGUGGUCUGUUAAGUCUGGCGUGAAAGCUCUCGGCUAAACCGGGAGAGGUCGUUGGAUACUGGCGGACUAGAGGACGGUAGAGGUGUGUGGAAUUCCGGGUGUAGUGGUGAAAUGCGUAGAGUAUCGGGAAGGAAUACCUAUGGCGAAAGCAGGCUACUGGACCAUCACUGACUCUGAUCUGCGAAAGCUAGGGGAGCAAACAGG
rnacentral:rRNA from 1 species